rnacentral:rRNA from 1 species
GACGAACGCUGGCGGCGUGCUUAACACAUGCAAGUCGAACGGAAAGGCCCUGCUUGCAGGGUACUCGAGUGGCGAGCGGGUGAGUAACACGUGGGUGAUCUGCCCUGCACUUCGGGAUAAGCCUGGGAAACUGGGUCUAAUACCGGAUAGGAGCCAUUUUAGUGUGAUGGUUGGAAAGGUUUUUCGGUGUAGGAUGAGCUCGCGGCCUAUCAGCUUGUUGGUGGGGUAAUGGCCUACCAAGGCGGCGACGGGUAGCCGGCCUGAGAGGGUGGACGGCCACAUUGGGACUGAGAUACGGCCCAGACUCCUACGGGAGGCAGCAGUGGGGAAUAUUGCACAAUGGGCGCAAGCCUGAUGCAGCGACGCCGCGUGGGGGAUGACGGCCUUCGGGUUGUAAACUCCUUUCGCUAGGGACGAAGCUUUUUGUGACGGUACCUAGAUAAGAAGCACCGGCUAACUACGUG